UACGAAGGGGGCUAGCGUUGCUCGGAAUCACUGGGCGUAAAGGGUGCGUAGGCGGGUCUUUUAAGUCAGGGGUGAAAUCCUGGAGCUCAACUCCAGAACUGCCUUUGAUACUGAAGAUCUUGAGUUCGGGAGAGGUGAGUGGAACUGCGAGUGUAGAGGUGAAAUUCGUAGAUAUUCGCAAGAACACCAGUGGCGAAGGCGGCUCACUGGCCCGAUAACUGACGCUGAGGCACGAAAAGCGUG
rnacentral:rRNA from 1 species